AAUAGAUACCCCUGGUAGUCCACGCUGUAAACGUUGGGCGCUAGGUGUGGGGGACCUCUCCGGUUCUCUGUGCCGCAGCUAACGCAUUAAGCGCCCCGCCUGGGGAGUACGGCCGCAAGGCUAAAACUCAAAGGAAUUGACGGGGGGCCCGCACAAGCGGCGGAGCAUGCGGAUUAAUUCGAUGCAACGCGAAGAACCUUACCUGGGUUUGACAUCACUCGAAAACUCGUAGAGAUACGGGGUCCUUCGGGGCGGGUGACAGGUGGUGCAUGGCUGUCGUCAGCUCGUGUCGUGAGAUGUUGGGUUAAGUCCCGCAACGAGCGCAACCCUCGUUCGAUGUUGCCAGCGUGUUAUGGCGGGGACUCAUCGAAGGACUGCCGGGGUCAACUCGGAGGAAGGUGGGGAUGACGUCAAGUCAUCAUGGCCCCUUAUGUCCAGGGCUUCACGCAUGCUACAAGUGGCCGGUACAAAGGGUUGCGAUGCCGUGAGGUGAGCGAAUCCCAAAAGCCGGUCUCAGUUCGGAUCGGGGUCUGCAACUCGACCCGGUG
rnacentral:rRNA from 1 species